rnacentral:rRNA from 1 species
AGAGUUUGAUCCUGGCUCAGGACGAACGCUGGCGGCGUGCCUAAUACAUGCAAGUCGAGCGGGGUUAGGAGGGAGCUUGCUCCCAAAUAACCUAGCGGCGGACGGGUGAGUAAUACGCAGGCAACCUGCCCACAAGAUCGGGAUAACUUCCGGAAACGGGUGCUAAGACCGAAUACGCAUCGAGAACGCAUGUUCUUGAU